AAAUCUUAGCGGUGGAUCACUAGGUUGAAGAAUCGAUGAAGAAUGCAGUGGAUCGAUGAAGAACGCAGCUAGCUGCGAUAAAUAGUGCGAAUGGCAGACAUAUUGAGCACUACUAACAUUUCGAACGCACAUUGCGCCAUCGGGUUCAUUCCCGUUGGCACGUCUGGCUGAGCGUUU
rnacentral:rRNA from 1 species